rnacentral:rRNA from 1 species
GUGCGAAAUAUUACUGUAAACGGCCGCCCUAGCGUGAGGGUGCUAAGGUAGCGAAAUUCCUUGCCUUUUGAUUGUAGGCCUGCAUGAAUGGUUUAACGAGGGUUUAACUGUCUCUAAAUUUUUUAUUGAAAUUGUACUGAAGGUGAAGAUACCUUCAUUUAAAAGUUAGACAAAAAGACCCCGUGCAACUUUGAAAAUUAACUUUAUUCAGAAGUAAAAGAUUUUUAGGUGGGGCGCCUAGAAAGUAAGUCUAACCUUUCUGAAUAAUUAGUUCUUUCCGGAUUCGACCCGAUUAUAUUCGAUCAUAGGAGAAGUUACGCCGGGGAUAACAGGCUAAUCCUUUAGUAGAGCUCGUAUUGGCUAAAGGGAUUGGCACCUCGAUGUUGAAUCAGGGAUGAUAGCUUCAGGGCGUAGAUGCUUUGAGAGUAGGUCUGUUCGACCUUUAAUACCCU